ensembl:lncRNA
GUGUUUUUUAUUUUAGACAAAGUACACAGUUGGGGGCCAGACUGAUCUCCUGGUCAUGAAUGGAUUCCGGGACCUACCAGAAGGAGCAAAGCUUGCCAGGCAAGACCUCCGAAUCAAACUGCGCAAUGCGACAUAACUACCCUCGUGACACCUCCCCCAUUGUCGCCAGUCUCCCUCGAAUCCUAUGUCAAGAACAGGCCCUCAUGAUGACACAGACGGCUUCAUCAACAAUGACAGACUCUCCCGGUCGAUAAGAUUGCCUGCUGCAAUUGUUCGAGAGCUGUCCGAACAUGCAGCAUAGAAAAGACCAGUAAGGGGGGUCCUUAUUAGCAUCAUGCAGACAAGCCCUCGCUGUGAGCAUUCCUAUGAAUGGAACAGUCAGCCAUGUGUCGGGAAGUGUCCGGCCAGCGACCGUCCCCUGUCAACAGCAACAGUUUUCUCAAGCUCAUCAUUUGUACAAACACGGAAGGUAAACCACUUUGUUACUUUGAUACCUUUGAGGACCCAAUUGUGAAACAAUUUAUGCAAACGGACAUUAUUUGUUGCUUAUUCUUUCUACUUCUUAGAUGCAUAUAAUGUCUAGAGCAUAACCUAGCCUGGUGGAACCUGCCUGAUCGAAGUGAAUUAGAAAGGUGAAUGCGGCGUUCAGCUUGGUUCCACCAGGCUAAUGAUAACCACCACUGAUAACGUAAUCUGUGUUGUGCGUGUGCAACGGCCCAGUAUCUUUGGUGAGUGGCCAGGAGCUGACCUACGCUGCUAUGUACAUCAACGGGGCUCUGGCAAAGACCUCACCUCCAGCCUCGCCUCUUGCCUGCUCCCCAACGGUGGCCGACGGCGAGAACAGAAUUAGAUGCAUGAGAUGCGGAGAGACCGGGCACUCAACCCAUCCACUCAACCCAUCCACUCAACCCAUCCACUCAACCCAUCCACUCAACACAUCCACUCAACACAUCCACUCAACACAUCCACUCAACCCAUCCACUCAACACAUCCA